GACGUAGGGCGCGAGCGUUGUCCGGAUUUAUUGGGCGUAAAGAGCUCGUAGGCGGCUCGGUCAGCGUGCGGUGAAAGCUCGGGGCUCAACCCCGCGUCGGCCAUGCGAACUGGUGGACUGGAGCUUGUCAGAGGCAGGCGGAAUUCCGGGUGUAGCGGUGGAAUGCGUAGAGAUCCGGAAGAACACCGGUGGCGAAGGCGGCCUGCUGGGACAAUGCUGACGCUGAGGCGCGACAGCGUGGGGAGCAAACAGG
rnacentral:rRNA from 1 species